rnacentral:lncRNA from 10 species
UGACGGAGUCUCACUCUAUCGUGGAGGCUGGAGUGCAGUGGAGCAAUCUCAGCUCACUACAACCUCUGCCUCCUGGAUUCAAGAAAUUCUCCUGCCUCAGCCUCCCGAGUAGCUGGGAUUACAGGUGCCUGUCACCACGCCCGGCUAAUUUUUGUAUUUUUAGUAGAGAUGGGGUUACACCAUGUUGGCCAGGCUGGUCUCGAACUCCUGAUCUCAGGUGAUCCACCCGCCUCAGCUUCCCAAAGUGCUGGGAUUAUAGGUGUGAGCCACCGUGCCCGGCCUUUUACAUGCUUUUAACUCAUUUGAUCCUCACAACAAACUCUGUGAGGUGGGUUCUUAUUUUUCCUACUUUAUAAAUGUGAUAACUGAGGCGUACAGAAGUUAAGUAAUUUGCCAAAUCCUAGAGGCUUCCAGAGCUCUCUGUCUUAAUCACUAAGGCUAUGCUGUAGGGUCUGGAGGGUGAAAGCAGUACCCAGCUUCAGGACUGCAACAGUGUUGCAGAGGAUCCAGUCU